rnacentral:rRNA from 1 species
AUUGAACGCUGGCGGCAGGCUUAACACAUGCAAGUCGAGCGGGGAAAGGUAGCUUGCUACCUGACCUAGCGGCGGACGGGUGAGUAAUGCUUAGGAAUCUGCCUAUUAGUGGGGGACAACAUUCCGAAAGGAAUGCUAAUACCGCAUACGCCCUAAGGGGGAAAGCAGGGGAUCUUCGGACCCUGCGCUAAUAGAUGAGCCUAAGUCAGAUUAGCUAGUUGGUGGGGUAAAGGCCUACCAAGGCGACGAUCUGUAGCGGGUCUGAGAGGAUGAUCCGCCACACUGGGACUGAGACACGGCCCAGACUCCUACGGGAGGCAGCAGUGGGGAAUAUUGGACAAUGGGCGCAAGCCUGACCCAGCCAUGCCGCGUGUGUGAAGAAGGCCUUUUGGUUGUAAAGCACUUUAAGCGAGGAGGAGGCUACUUGGAUUAAUACUCUAGGAUAGUGGACGUUACUCGCAGAAUAAGCACCGGCUAACUCUGUGCCAGCCGCCGCCGUAA